ensembl:misc_RNA Metazoa_SRP Metazoan signal recognition particle RNA
GCCAGGUGUUGUGGCGAACACCUGUAAUCCCAGCUACUGGGGAGGCUGAGGCAGAAGAAUCACUUGAACCCAGGAGGUGAAGGUUGCAGUGAGCUGAGAUCGUGCCACUGCACUCCAGCCUGGGCAACAGAGUGAGACUCCAUCUCAA